rnacentral:misc_RNA from 1 species
CCAAUAGCGUAUAUUAAAGUUGUUGCAGUUAAAAAGCUCGUAGUUGAAUUUCGGGAUUAGUACGUUGGUCGUGCCUUGGUACGUACUGGUGUAACUGAUUCCUCCCUUCUGACGAACCGUUAUGCCAUUAAUUUGGUGUGGCGGGAAAUCAGGACUGUUACUUUGAAAAAAUUAGAGUGUUUAAAGCAGGCUCGCGCUGGAAUACAUUAGCAUGGAAUAAUGAAAUAGGACGUUAAUCCUAUUUUGUUGGUUUCUAGGAUCGACGUAAUGAUUAAUAGGGAUAGUUGGGGGCAUUAGUAUUCAAUUGUCAGAGGUGAAAUUCUUGGAUUUAUUGAAGACUAACUACUGCGAAAGCAUUUGCCAAGGAUGUUUUCAUUAAUCAAGAACGAAAGUUAGGGGAUCGAAGACGAUCAGAUACCGUCGUAGUCUUAACCAUAAACUAUGCCGACUAGGGAUCGGAUGAUGUUAAUUUUUUAAUGACUCAUUCGGCGCCUUACG